rnacentral:lncRNA from 1 species
CCUUUCUUUCUCACUUCUUCUUUUUCUUUCGAGUGGUCUUAGUACCAUGUUACGAGUGGCAACCAUCUGAUUGACAUAUUGAUGGUGUAAUUCUAGAACGAUUUUCUACAGUGCAGUAGAACUCUGAUACAAUGUAUAUGGGUUGUUUUAUCAUGGGGACUUUGUGGUUGAUAGUUUGUCUUACAUAAUUUGGCCAGUGUCGCGAAAUAUCUUAAAGAGAACGACCUAAUCUGCA